rnacentral:rRNA from 1 species
UGGGGAAUUUUGGACAAUGGGGGAAACCCUGAUCCAGCCAUCCCGCGUGUGCGAUGAAGGCCUUCGGGUUGUAAAGCACUUUUGGCAGGAAAGAAACGUCAUGGGUUAAUACCCCGUGAAACUGACGGUACCUGCAGAAUAAGCACCGGCUAACUACGUGCCAGCAGCCGCGGUAAUACGUAGGGUGCAAGCGUUAAUCGGAAUUACUGGGCGUAAAGCGUGCGCAGGCGGUUCGGAAAGAAAGAUGUGAAAUCCCAGAGCUCAACUUUGGAACUGCAUUUUUAACUACCGGGCUAGAGUGUGGCAGAGGGAGGUGGAAGUCCGCGUGUAGCAGUGAAAUGCGUAGAUAUGCGGAGGAAAACCGAUGGCGAAGGCAGCCGCCUGGGAUAACACUGACGCUCAUGCACGAAAGCGUGGGGAGCAAACAGG